GACGAACGCUGGCGGCGUGCCUAAUACAUGCAAGUCGAACGAGAGCGACCGGUGCUUGCACUGGUCAAUCUAGUGGCGAACGGGUGAGUAACACGUGGGUAACCUGCCCAUCAGAGGGGGAUAACAUUCGGAAACGGAUGCUAAAACCGCAUAGGUCUUCGAGCCGCAUGGCUUGAAGAGGAAAAGAGGCGCAAGCUUCUGCUGAUGGAUGGACCCGCGGUGCAUUAGCUAGUUGGUGAGGUAACGGCUCACCAAGGCCGUGAUGCAUAGCCGACCUGAGAGGGUGAUCGGCCACAUUGGGACUGAGACACGGCCCAAACUCCUACGGGAGGCAGCAGUAGGGAAUCUUCCGCAAUGGACGCAAGUCUGACGGAGCAACGCCGCGUGAGUGAAGAAGGUUUUCGGAUCGUAAAACUCUGUUGUUAGAGAAGAACAAGUGCUAGAGUAACUGUUAGCGCC
rnacentral:rRNA from 1 species